rnacentral:tRNA from 1 species
AAAUUUAGGUUACGAUAAACCAAGGGCCUUCAAAGCCCCAAACAGGGUUAUUACACCCUAAUUUCUG